UACGGGGGGGGCAAGCGUUGUUCGGAAUUACUGGGCGUAAAGGGCUCGUAGGCGGCCAACUAAGUCCUACGUGAAAUCCCUCGGCUUAACCGGGGAACUGCGUCUGAUACUGGAUGGCUUGAGUUCGGGAGAGGGAUGCGGAAUUCCAGGUGUAGCGGUGAAAUGCGUAGAUAUCUGGAGGAACACCGGUGGCGAAGGCGGCAUCCUGGACCGAUACUGACGCUGAGGAGCGAAAGCCAGGGGAGCAAACGGG
rnacentral:rRNA from 1 species